AGAGUUUGAUCCUGGCUCAGAACGAACGCUGGCGGCGUGCCUAACACAUGCAAGUCGAACGGAUUUGAGAAGCUUGCUUCUCAAGUUAGUGGCGCACGGGUGAGUAACGCGUAGAUAAUCUGCCUGAUGAUCUGGGAUAACACUUCGAAAGGGGUGCUAAUACCGGAUAAGCCCACGGAGUCUUUGGACUUUGCGGGAAAAGGGGGGGACCUUCGGGCCUUCUGUCAUCAGAUGAGUCUGCGUACCAUUAGCUAGUUGGUAGGUUAAAGGCCUACCAAGGCUACGAUGGUUAGCUGGUCUGAGAGGAUGAUCAGCCACACUGGAACUGAGACACGGUCCAGACUCCUACGGGAGGCAGCAGUGGGGAAUUUUGCGCAAUGGGCGAAAGCCUGGCGCAGCAACGCCGCGUGAGUGAUGAAGGCUUUCGGGUCGUAAAGCUCUGUCGAGGGGAAAGGAGUGUAUUGUGGCUAAUAUCCAUGAUACUUGACGGUACCCCUAAAGGAAGCACCGGCUAACCCCGUGCCAGCAGCC
rnacentral:rRNA from 1 species